GAUGAACGCUGGCGGCGUGCCUAAUACAUGCAAGUCGAGCGAACGGACGAGAAGCUUGCUUCUCUGAUGUUAGCGGCGGACGGGUGAGUAACACGUGGAUAACCUACCUAUAAGACUGGGAUAACUUCGGGAAACCGGAGCUAAUACCGGAUAAUAUUUUGAACCGCAUAGUUCAAAAGUGAAAGACGGUCUUGCUGUCACUUAUAGAUGGAUCCGCGCUGCAUUAGCUAGUUGGUAAGGUAACGGCUUACCAAGGCAACGAUGCAUAGCCGACCUGAGAGGGUGAUCGGCCACACUGGAACUGAGACACGGUCCAGACUCCUACGGGAGGCAGCAGUAGGGAAUCUUCCGCAAUGGGCGAAAGCCUGACGGAGCAACGCCGCGUGAGUGAUGAAGGUCUUCGGAUCGUAAAACUCUGUUAUUAGGGAAGAACAUAUGUGUAAGUAACUGUGCACAUCUUGACGGUACCUAACCAGAAAGCCACGGCUAACUACAUG
rnacentral:rRNA from 1 species